UCUCUCCCCCUUUUCAUAGUGUAGACUCCUGGACCAUGGGAUGGUGAUGCCCAGCUUCAAAUUUGUUAUCCCCUCUUUGAUUUAUCCUUGAUGGGAUUGCCCUCACAGACACACCCAGAAGUGUGGCAUCACCAACUUCUUAGGUGAUUCUAAACCUAGUCAAGAUGAUAAUGAAGAUCAACCAUCACAGGGCAUCACCCACCAGAGGUAUCGGAAAAGAAAGGAUGUGGGGGAAGUGGACUUGUUUAGAAAUGGUUCCUUGGAGCAACUUCCAUCUGUGUUGUCUGGAAACUGGCCGUUCAGUUCACAGGUCAGCAGCAGCAGCUUGAUCCACUGGCAAACACUUCACGGAUACAUACACCAGCAGUUCAGUUCAGUAGAGUCAAGAUAGCAAACACAAUCAGCACCAGUGGCACUGCCUAGCAGAGACAUCCAAGCCUCAGCCUGGAUACAAGUCAGCAAGAGGGACCAGCAGGAACACCAGGAGUUCUCAGCUGUGCCUCUCUCAGCAAAGCAAAGAUCAAAGAUCAGCGAAGACUCAAGACCCAAGACAAGCAUUGCACCACUAGCUCUACACACAAGCUUAGCUCAGCCUCCGUCACUGUCCCUUGAGUUCGAUUUAUAUUCCCUCCAAACAUCACGUGUCCUCCACAGGUCUUACCUCAACAUGUGUCUUCCCUUGGUGUGUGCAUCCAUCUCAGCUGACAUCACUCUGCCAAUCACCUGGAGUCUGAAGAAACAGCACGAAAUUACAGCGCACCACCAGAAGUUCUCUCUAUGGAGUCCCAGUAAAUGGAGCUCAACUGCACAAUGUAAAGUGGACCGAUGCAGGCUUGUCGUUAGUGAAGCAUCCUUAGCAGAACAUCCUUUCCCUUAUGUCUGCUUCAAUGAAACAUUCCUUCACAAGUCUGCCUUAGCCUUCCACCUGUGUCCACUUCAAAACACCAUCCAACACAACUGGCUUUCCAAAGAUCCCUUAAGUUUCCACUUCAAGCAAGAUGUGUGGCUGCAUCCAAGUGACCACACUACAAGGCUGGAACGUGACCACAGAGAUCUGAUGUUGCAUUGCCAGUACACUGGUCUAGAGAGACAACCAGACUGAAGACGCUUGGACCCCCACCUCUCACAUGAGCCGUUCUCAUCCCUGACUUGAUUGCUUCCACCUGAUGGGUUAUGUAAGCAAGAAAUAGCCUCUUCCUUAUUCAAACCACUGACUUCUGGAAUGGGGAAAAUGCAAAGAAGAAAAUCACUUUCAUGUUACCCUUACGUCUUAUCUACUUCUCUUUCUGUGAAGGCACACCAUGACCAAGGCAGCUCAUGAAAGAAAGCAUUUAAUCAGGGGCCUGCUUACGGUUCCGUAGGGCUAGUCCAUGGUCAUCAUGGUGCGGGAGCAUGACGGCUGGGAUGGUGCUGGAGCAGUAGCUAAGAACUUACCUCCUGGUCCACAGAUAGGAAGCAGAAAGAGAACUAGGCUGGGCCAGAAGUGGGCUUUUGAAACCUCAUAGCCUACCUGCAGUGACACACUUCCUCCACCAAGGCCACACACAUACCUCUA
rnacentral:lncRNA from 1 species